AUAAGAGGUCCAGCCUGCCCAGUGACCUAGUUCAACGGCCGCGGUAUCCUAACCGUGCGAAGGUAGCGUAAUCACUUGUUCUUUAAAUGAGGACUAGUAUGAAUGGCACCACGAGGGUUAAACUGUCUCCUUUUUUUAAUCAGUGAAACUAAUCUCCCCGUGAAGAAGCGGGGAUUCUUUUAUAAGACGAGAAGACCCUAUGGAGCUUUAAACAAGUUAACACCUGCUACUAAUCUUCACUUUCCUGAACCACCACAUUAAGUAUAGCACCUCUGAUUAACAGUUUUCGAUUGGGGUGAUCAUGGAGCAAAAAUCAACCUCCACGACGAAAAGGAACACCUCCUUGAGCCAAAAGCUACAACUUUAAGCACUAAAAAACUAACGCACUUUGACCCAAUUCUUUGAGCAACGAACCAAGUUACCCUAGGGAUAACAGCGCAAUCCACUUUAAGAGCUCCUAUCGACAAGUGGGUUUACGACCUCGAUGUUGGAUCAGGGUAUCCCAGUGGUGCAGCCGCUACUAA
rnacentral:rRNA from 1 species